GGCCCAGGGGCUCACUAGUGACACUUGGAGGUAUGAGCCUUAUACUCAUCUCAAGAAAGCUGUUUGGCGGUUGGUGGGUACUGGGGAGCUCGGCUGGGGUCCUCGAGGCCAGACAACCCCCACGUCCUGCCCCACAGAACCCAGACCCUGUCACUGUUCCUGGUAGUUGCUAUUAACCCAUCAAGGUCAGUGUUUGCCAGGCAUGGUCCUGGGCAUCAGGCUCGGUGUGCAGAAAGACAUCGUAGUCUCUGGCUUCGAGGUCCUUCAGUGUGAUGAGGAAGAUGGAUGGAAACUUGGCUUUUCAGAGCUCUUGCCUGGGGCCAGGCACUGGGCCCAGAGCUUUCCAUGGAGAUAUCCUCGAGUCCACACACCAGCCUUUGGGGCAGGUUUGGGUAUAAUCCCCAUUUUAUGGAUGGCACCACUGAGGCACAGAGAGCUUAGAUGACUUGCCUGGGUCACAGACCAGAAAGAAGUGACUUCAAUCCCAGGGCUCUGGGUAAGUGGGAUCACCAUGAGCCGAGCCCAAGAGAGGAGUGAGACCCCCACUAUUCCUUACAAAUUUACUGGCCUUUCGAACAAACUCUAUACUUGUAGAUGGAAUGUGCAGAGAGGGCGGAUGUGAUCUCUCAAUUAGGGUCUCGGCCCAAACACCUGGGACAGGCUGGAUGUCUAUUUGCUCAUUCAUUCAUUCAUUCAUUCACUCCAUAACCAUGGACUAAAUGCUGGCCAAUGUACAGGCGCUGUGCUAAGCCCCUGGGGAAAACACCAGGCAGCUCACACAGCCUAGAGUGAGCUGAGGAUCCUCUUAAUCUCCCAGGCCAAUUGCAAUUGAUUGGUAGUGUCUGCGUGGAGCUCUGGGGAGAAAGGGAUUUGGCAUGUACCCCAAUUGAUUAGUAAUGUCUGCCAAGGGCUCAGCUGGGAGCCUUUAUGGCAGACCUGCUGGGUAGCUGCUCCUGGGAUGAGGAAAGAGUGUGCUUUCAGCCUUUUGGACGUCAGGGUGGAUUUGCUGGCAGAGUGGGGGGUGGGGCAUCAGGAGAUCUGGGUGCCAGCUCCAGACUGGCCUGUAUCACCCCUCUUAGGACUCAGUCUCCUCACUUGUCACCUUCCUCCAGAGGUCCUAUGAGUGGCAAGUAACUCCAAAGCGUGUUGAAGAGUGGGAGGGAUUAGCACUGAAAUGAAAGGGAGACUUCUCUCUUUUCUCUUUUCUCAAAAUCCUGCCAGAAGCUGAACUUGCUGGGUAGGCCAGAGUUAAUCCUGGAUCUGCCCUGGGCCGGUGUGUGGCUGGAUGGGUGGGGGGGGCGGCUCAGCGGUUCCCAGCUAGGAGUUGUUUUUAUAACUCACUUAGUAUAGACCUUUGUCCCCUCACCGGGCUCAGCUGGGAGUUUCUAAGGAGUGAGAAGCUCUUUGGAUCUCAGGAACUGAACCUUCGAGUUCUUUUUCGUGGGAGUGGUGGGAGCUAGCUGUGGCCAGCCUCGUCCGCCUUCCCGUUCAGUGAAUGAAACUGUAGAUCGUUGUGUCAGACACAGAAUUACAUUUAACACAGAUAGUUUCGUUUGUUUUUCAUUGAUCUUCUGAACAAUUGAAUGAGCGCCUACUGUGUGCCAGGCUCUGCAUCAGCUCCUAGAACCACAGUAGUACCCGCUGUCAUGGACCUGACUGACAUCCCGGACCAGAUGGGAACUGAAUAAGGAAUAAACAAGCAGAUAAACGGGAUCGCAGUGAGGGUGAGAAAGGAGCAGAAAAACAUCUGAUUUCCUAGACGUUCCCAGCGGGAAACGCCUCAAUCCUACAAAGGACUCUGGGAGGUGAAUAUUUUAUCUGAGCUUAUUUGCCUACUUGAAAAGCAAGUUUCUGUUAGGAGCUAAGAAGAGAGUAAACCGGACACCCGGUCAGAACAUAGGGUCUCUGUUCUCACGGAGCCCACAUUUGAGAGCUCCGUAUAUUCCGACCUUUUCGCUGUGGUAUGAAGCAGGAAGCAACCCGUCUGUGUCCUCGCAGACUCUCAGCGCCCUCUUACUAGCCUUGGAGGCGGGGUCCUGACGCACAGUAGGACUCGAGCCCAUGCUGGGACAAACAGGAGGAGUUUCUAGACUGCCACAUUCCCAGGGCUUUCCCCCGAACCUGUCUAGCCUUGGUGGUGGUUUACGUGCCGCUUUGGGGGCCUUCAUCCAAAGUCCACCCCACCCCGCAAAUGAGCUGGUGUGGAGGCAGGGGUGGCCACGACCAGGCCCUCUCUUAGGGAGAAGGCGACAGCCCCCACUUCUGUGGGAGGCUUCGGUGUGGCAGGCUUUGCCUCCGAAUUCCCUCUGAGAGCCCCAGAGCCAGCCAGGGGUGUGGGGGGACUGCACCCUUGGCCGGGAACAGGGUCUGUCACACACCACCUGGCAGACCUCUUCGCAGUCCACUCUCAGAGGCGAUGCCAAUUCGGGUCCCUUCUUCACAGGGGGAAAUGGAGCGCGUGAGUGGAAGAUCUGGGAUUCGAACCCUGGUCCUUCAUGCCUAAAGCAACUGCCCUCCAGACCGGAGGGCUGAGGCCACGUCUCCUUCAUUAGGCGGCAGCAGUCACCUGCUGGCUGGGGAGUGG